UCUCCCCUAAUAUCUCCCGAUUCCAAUCGCAGCAGCACCGUCUCCUCCACCUCGACCAGAUCCAUUCCCCCCGCCUCGCACGCACCUUCGUCCUGCUCUCCUCGCCGUCGAGCAUCACGGCCACGGCCAGCUCCGCCCCCUGCCUCUCCAAAACCUCAUCCACUAAUCAAGCCGCCCAUCCUCAUCUUGAUUCACGCUUUUUUUCAGGUCAAAUCAGGUGCUCCAGCGGCUGAAGCGGCCACCGGAGUUGCACCGGCCGGCCGGAGAACCUACAGUGGAUUGCAAAAUCCACCCCCACCACCCCAAUUACAAGCGCCCCGUAUUGAAAUCGAAGGUAUUGCAGUGCAUCUACUGGCCCAGAUUUGACUAUCCAACAACCAAGAGUACUCAUUUGUUUGUAUGUUCAUUGGCUGUGUAGUAUUGCUCUCGUGAUGUGUAGGCCAUUUAUCAUCAAACUUUUUGUAGGCCGAGCUUUGUAGAUAUUUAGAAUAACCCAUAGCUACGUAUGCAAGCAAUCGUGGCUAUUCCUUAAUUUCAAUAUUCAGUGCAUCGAAUGAUUGUGAGAAAUGUAGAGGAAACAUUGUUUCAUUGCUUCCUGUAUAAAAGGCUUCCAAAUAUACGCAUGCGCAGUUGGCGGCAAUUUUUUUUUUGCUUUCAUUUAUCAAGAUUUCAUGCUUCCACCCAACACUAUUAAUGCACCAUUUGCAUUAUUUUCCAGCUUCAUACCUCUAGAAAAAUGGAAGCAUGACCAUACCAAAUAUAUGCAUCGAGGGUUGUUUGUUAGGUUACUGCUGAAAGUCUUGUUUGUUAGUAUUCUUUGGUUUAAAUUAUUCCAAGCAAUUACUAUUAGGUGGGAGCUUCCAAAUAUAUGCAUCUGCAGUUGGCAGAAUUUUUUUUGGUUUCAUUUCCAAAAUUUACAUGCUUCCACCCAACAAUAAUAAUGCACCACUUUUGUUAUUUGCCUGCUUCAUACCUCUAGAAAAAUGGAAGAAUAAUCAUGCCCCCCAUCCCGUACCUCUAUCCCCAAAUCACCGCUUUUCUCGUUCCUCUCUCCUCACCUCGCCGACAAGCUCUCCAUCUGCCAUGCCGCCCUAUUCUCUUCUCGAGCGUCGCCUGACCCUGGUCACCGUCAAGCUCACCCUCCCUGCCCUGCUUCCAGCGCACUGCACCUCUGGCCGACCAAUGAUAUUCUCCGUUUUCAUGAUCCAGGACGACCAGAUAUGUAUGUACGUGUGCAAUCUACUUCUUUUACUUACAAUUCACAGUCUGUUCUGGUCGUCCGGAGUAAAUUAUUCCAUUGAUUUCCGUUGAGAUCUGUUGAGAUCUAUAGCAUACGUAGGAUGUUAGAUCGGUAGCAAAUAUCACAUCUUCUCCAAAUCAAUCCGUGACCGAUCGAUCUUUGAAAAGAUAUGACAUAAAAAUAGUGUUUCAUGUCUCCCUUGCUUCAUUGGACUGUUAGAUGUGCUUCUUAUGCACAGAUAUGUUCCGCUCACAUCUAUCUUUCUUGACUUAGGGAAUAUCUGAUUGGUUUCAAUUUGUUUGUCAAUUUUAGUCAGUUUUUAUGCUUCGAGUGACAACACCAAAUUAUUUCUUCUUGUCAACCAUGCUUGCUACUUUUAUUUAUUGGUUGCGUAUAUUUGUGUGGUAGUGGAUUUUUGCUUGAACUGCUACUAAUAUGGGCUUCAGUCACUAUCAACUUAAUUUGCAUUUGCUUCCUUUAGUAAAAUUUGUUUCGAGCACUAUCUGUGUGUGCUUCCUCGUUCAUCAACGAUGUUUCUGUCGUGCUUCCUACAUUAGUAUUUUUUUUCUGUUAUCAUAGUAAUCUUUGUUUCAAGCACUAUAUGCUUGUGCCUCCCUGUUUACCGCUGAUGCUUCUGUUUUGCAGACAUUUUACAGCACCUUAUUAUUCCAACAAUGCCUUUUUGUUCCCAAUACAAUUCCAAUGAUGGUACCAUCACACUGAGUGUGCUUUCGACGGGACCAGACGUCGAUUUAUGUUCGCUGACUGCCUUUUCAAGGAUAGAGAGCUUAUGGCGCGCGUACAAGAUCAAUCAGUUCAGCAGGCACUGUGACUUAGGCUAGGCAAAAAUGAAAAUAUUGUUGUUGUAAAUUGUUUCUUAUUUCUUCUUGUAAAAAUAGGUGUAAACCGUUACUCAUAUCGAGUAUAUUUGUAUACAUGGUCUGUGAGUUCUGUCAUGCUUCUACACUCUGAAGCAAUAUUGAUACAAUCAGGAAGCAACUAACAUGAGCAUGUGCAUGCAUUUUGGUUUACUAUUGAAGCAGAGAAUGGAAGGAAUUUUUAAACAUGCUUUUUUUCUUAUUUAUUUGUUGAAGAAGCACCAAAUGAGAACUUAUGAAGCUUCACAAAAUUAUAUAGGAAGCAAGUAAUGAAUUGCAUACAUAGUGAACAUGCACUAACUCCG
rnacentral:lncRNA from 1 species